rnacentral:rRNA from 1 species
AGAGUUUGAUCCUGGCUCAGGAUGAACGCUGGCGGCGUGCUUAACACAUGCAAGUCGAACGAUGAUCUCCAGCUUGCUGGGGGGAUUAGUGGCGAACGGGUGAGUAACACGUGAGUAACCUGCCCUUAACUCUGGGAUAAGCCUGGGAAACUGGGUCUAAUACCGGAUAUGACUCCUCAUCGCAUGGUGGGGGGUGGAAAGCUUUUGUGGUUUUGGAUGGACUCGCGGCCUAUCAGCUUGUUGGUGAGGUAAUGGCUCACCAAGGCGACGACGGGUAGCCGGCCUGAGAGGGUGACCGGCCACACUGGGACUGAGACACGGCCCAGACUCCUACGGGAGGCAGCAGUGGGGAAUAUUGCACAAUGGGCGCAAGCCUGAUGCAGCGACGCCGCGUGAGGGAUGACGGCCUUCGGGUUGUAAACCUCUUUCAGUAGGGAAGAAGCGAAAGUGACGGUA